GGCUUGAGGGCUUCAGCCGACGGCCUCCUCCUCCCUUUGGAUGACCUGGGGGAGCCGUCCUGUGUGCUCGCGGCCCUUCCCGGGCCUCCGUCCUGUCCGGGGCCGCCCGGGCUCCUUCCCCUUAACCGCAGGUGGUGCCCCUCGGCGGCGCGCGCGCUCCCUCUCCCCGUGACCCCGGUGCAAACCCGUCGGCGGCCUGCAGGGCGCGCAACGAGCAGCCCCGCGCGCCCGGGCGCUCCGGGUCCCCCGCCACCGCCCAGCCCCCGGGAGCUCCCGAAACUCGCCGCGCGAGCCUGGGGCACCGGUGGCCUCGGCGCAAGGGCGACGCGCCGGACUUUCCAGCCGCGCCCGCGACCAAGCGGCUCCCGGAACCCCGGGGCGGGGCGCCCAGGUGGAGGAGUCCGUAUCCCCCGCGCGGGGGGGGGCGCCCCAGACCAGGAGCACCCCGGAGGGAAGCCGUGUGCACCCCCGAUCCACGGACACCGCAGCCGGGGAGGAUUCCCGCCCCCCAGGCCCCCGACGGGGAGAAACCCCCGACGACGAGCGUCUCUGAUUGGAGCAUCCCAGGCCGGGACACGCCCCCUGGCCCCGCGGCGCCCCACUUGGAGCUCGGGGACGCCGAGCCGCGGCCCACCCACAGCCUCCGCGCGCCGCCGCCAGGCGCCUUUUCUUCCUUCUGACCCUCUGCACCUUGGGUUUGUUUCCCUUUCCCCAGCCUUCUCUGGUUGCCUUACGUCUUCCAUCACACCUGGGGCGCCUCUCUCUGCUUGGGGGGCGCGCAGCGCUAGGGAGACGGCGGGUCUCAGUUUCUCACCCGCCACCCGCCUUUGGGACACCUGCCUCGGCCGCCGCGACCCGAGCGCAGGGGGGACGGCCGCCCCCGCCCCCGCCCCGGCCCCGGCCCGGCCGCGGGGACUCCCCCUGAAGGUAAGGAGCGCCCCGGCUGCCAGCCGCACCCCUCCGCGCCCCCUGCGCCGCCAGCCCCGCUGGCCAGGGCCAACCCAGCCAGGGCACAGGGGUUCUGGAAACAGGAUCCUUACGGAUGCGUGCCACUAUGUGUAA
rnacentral:lncRNA from 1 species